rnacentral:rRNA from 1 species
UCCGUAGGUGAACCUGCGGAAGGAUCAUUACCGAGUUGAUUCGGGCUCCGGCCCGAUCCUCCCACCCUUUGUGUACCUACCUCUGUUGCUUUGGCGGGCCGCGGUUCUCCGCGGCCGCCCCCCUCCCCGGGGGGUGGCCAGCGCCCGCCAGAGGACCAUCAAACUCCAGUCAGUAAACGAUGCAGUCUGAAAAACAUUUAAUAAACUAAAACUUUCAACAACGGAUCUCUUGGUUCUGGCAUCGAUGAAGAACGCAGCGAAAUGCGAUAAGUAAUGUGAAUUGCAGAAUUCAGUGAAUCAUCGAGUCUUUGAACGCACAUUGCGCCCUUUGGUAUUCCGAAGGGCAUGCCUGUUCGAGCGUCAUUACAACCCUCAAGCUCUGCUUGGUAUUGGGCACCGUCCUUUGCGGGCGCGCCUCAAAGACCUCGGCGGUGGCGUCUUGCCUCAAGCGUAGUAGAACAUACAUCUCGCUUCGGAGCGCAGGGCGUCGCCCGCCGGACGAACCUUCUGAACUUUUCUCAAGGUUGACCUCGGAUCAGGUAGGGAUACCCGCUGAACUUAAGCAUAUCAAUAAGCGGAGGA